AUCCAAGGUGAUUCCCUCUCCAAGGGGCCAACUAGUGCCCCUCUCAGGAAAGUAGCAAAUUAAAAUUAAAUCUGGCAUGACCAAGGCCUUUGAGGGACCAGGUUGCUUAUUUAUUUUGCCUUUCUUUGUCUUUCUACACGU
ensembl:snoRNA